UUGACCUCAAUAGGUAGA
rnacentral:rRNA from 1 species